rnacentral:rRNA from 1 species
CGCGGCCUAUCAGCUUGUUGGUGAGGUAAUGGCUCACCAAGGCUAAGACGGGUAGCUGGUCUGAGAGGAUGAUCAGCCACACUGGAACUGAGACACGGUCCAGGCUCCUACGGGAGGCAGCAGUGGGGAAUAUUGCGCAAUGGACGAAAGUCUGACGCAGCCACGCCGCGUGAGCGAUGAAGGCCCUCGGGUCGUAAAGCUCUGUGGAUGGAGAAGAAGAAAGCCUGUGAAGAGCAGGCCUUGACGGUAUCCAUUUAGCAAGCACCGGCUAACUCCGUGCCAGCAGCCGCGGUAAUACGGAGGGUGCAAACGUUGCUCGGAAUCAUUGGGCGUAAAGCGCGCGUAGGCGGCUUGGUAAGUUGGAUGUGAAAGCCCAGGGCUCAACCCUGGAAGUGCAUCCAAAACUACCUGGCUUGAAUUGCGGAGGGGGCCAGAGAAUUCCCGGUGUAGAGGUGAAAUUCGUAGAUAUCGGGAGGAAUACCAGUGGCGAAGGCGCUGGCCUGGACGACAAUUGACGCUGAGGUGCGAAAGCGUGGGGAGCGAACAGGAUUAGAUACCCUGGUAGUCCACGCCGUAAACGAUGAGUGCUAGAUGGUGGGAGAUUAACCCUCUCGUCAUCGGAGCUAACGCGUUAAGCACCCCGCCUGGGGAGUACGG